CCACGCCGUAAACGAUGAAUGCUAGGUGUUUGGGUAAAACCAAGUGCCGCCGUUAACGCAUUAAGCAUUCCACCUGAGUAGUACGUGCGCAAGCAUAAAACUCAAAGGAAUUGGCGGGACCUCGCACAAGCGGUGGAUCAUGUUGUUUAAUUCGUGGAUACGCGAAGAACCUUACCAGGCUUUGACAUCUAGGGCAAGUGGUAGUGAAAGCUAUCAGGAGGUUAUCCCUAAGACAGGUGGUGCAUGGUUGU
rnacentral:rRNA from 1 species